rfam:Gossypium raimondii Chr11_contig_1239, whole genome shotgun sequence.
GAGAGCUAAAUGAAUUGAAAGGUUCAUGUUUGGUUCGGGAAGAGAACAUGGAAUUUUUGAAAUAAAAAAAUGAAUGGAAAGAUAUUCGAAUUUUAU